CCUACGGGAGGCAGCAGUGGGGAAUUUUGGACAAUGGGCGCAAGCCUGAUCCAGCAAUGCCGCGUGAGUGAAGAAGGCCUUCGGGUUGUAAAGCUCUUUUGUCAGGGAAGAAACGGUGGGGGCUAAUAUCCUUUGCUAAUGACGGUACCUGAAGAAUAAGCACCGGCUAACUACGUGCCAGCAGCCGCGGUAAUACGUAGGGUGCAAGCGUUAAUCGGAAUUACUGGGCGUAAAGCGUGCGCAGGCGGUUUUGUAAGUUUGUCGUGAAAUCCCCGGGCUCAACCUGGGAAUGGCGAUGAAGACUGCAAGGCUAGAAUCUGGCAGAGGGGGGUAGAAUUCCACGUGUAGCAGUGAAAUGCGUAGAGAUGUGGAGGAACACCGAUGGCGAAGGCAGCCCCCUGGGUCAAGAUUGACGCUCAUGCACGAAAGCGUGGGGAGCAAACAGGAUUAGAUACCCUGGUAGUCCACGCCCUAAACCGAUGUCUACUAGUUGUCGGGUUUUAAUUAACUUGGUAACGCAGCUAACGCGUGAGUAGACCGCCUGGGGAGUACGGUCGCAAGNUUAAAACUUCAAAUGAAUUGACGGNNGNGNGNGCGAGGCGACGACGAGGGAGGAGG
rnacentral:rRNA from 1 species